rnacentral:rRNA from 1 species
AUUGAACGCUGGCGGCAGGCCUAACACAUGCGAGUCGAGCGGAUGAAGGGAGCUUGCUCCUGGAUUCAGCGGCGGACGGGUGAGUAAUGCCUAGGAAUCUGCCUGGUAGUGGGGGAUAACGUCCGGAAACGGGCGCUAAUACCGCAUACGUCCUGAGGGAGAAAGUGGGGGAUCUUCGGACCUCACGCUAUCAGAUGAGCCUAGGUCGGAUUAGCUAGUUGGUGGGGUAAAGGCCUACCAAGGCGACGAUCCGUAACUGGUCUGAGAGGAUGAUCAGUCACACGGGAACUGAGACAGGGUCCAGACUCCUACGGGAGGCAGCAGUGGGGAAUAUUGGACAAUGGGCGAAAGCCUGAUCCAGCCAUGCCGCGUGUGUGAAGAAGGUCUUCGGAUUGUAAAGCACUUUAAGUUGGGAGGAAGGGCAGUAAGUUAAUACCUUGCUGUUUUGACGUUACCAACAGAAUAAGCACCGGCUAACUUCGUG